rnacentral:misc_RNA from 1 species
CGCACAUUGCACCCACUAGUAUUCUAAUGGGUAUGCCUGUUCGAGCGUCAUUACAAUCUUAUGCUUUGCAUAGUUUUGGGACAUUCAGAAGUGAAGUCCUCAAUAAUAUCUGGCAACUGAUGAUAGUUUGAGCAAAGUAAAUACUCGGCUUUUGAACCUUUAUCACGCUUGACCACAAAUCAAAUUACUUUUGACCUCGGAUCAGGUAGGAAUACCCGCUGAACUUAA